UUUUUUUUUCCCCCUGAAUAGUUGUUUGACCAUACUGUGAAGUCUAAAACCAUAUUCUGAAGUCCAAGACCUCUGUUUCAUCCUGUUUGCUGCUCCUCUUCAUGCUCAUGUAACAGUUUAAAGGGCAGUGACUUCGGAGAAGGACCUUGCUUACCCUGCCGGCAGAGCCAGGAUGGAGGAUUUCACACAAGGUUGGGGACUGUCUGAAAACACGAAAGGAGCCAGGAAUAUGCCGAUGACACAACCUCGAGAUUAACAGGCCGUAGGGAAGGGCAGGAAUCAGCUUGGUCUGACAGGGGAGUACCAAAGAAGAGUGGGAAGAAUACUGGGUUUGCAGCUGGCUGACGUGAGUUUGAAUUCUGGCUCUCCUGUCACACCUUAUGAGAAGUUCCAUGAUGCAUUUCAUAUCAGUGGAUAAUCCAGUUUUCCCAGCAACACGUGUUAAAGACUUUGCCCACUGAACAGUUUCAGCAUCCUGACCAUGUAUGUGAACCACAGACCACCUCAAGUACUCUAUCUUUGUAGAAAGUCAGGAGGUGGGAGUCCUCCAUUAUUUCCUUUUCAAGACUGUUUUGGCUAUAUGGGGUCCACUGCAAUUCC